AUUGAACGCUGGCGGCAGGCUUAACACAUGCAAGUCGAGCGGAGAGAGGUAGCUUGCUACUGAUCUUAGCGGCGGACGGGUGAGUAAUGCUUAGGAAUCUGCCUAUUAGUGGGGGACAACAUUUCGAAAGGAAUGCUAAUACCGCAUACGUCCUACGGGAGAAAGCAGGGGAUCUUCGGACCUUGCGCUAAUAGAUGAGCCUAAGUCGGAUUAGCUAGUUGGUGGGGUAAAGGCCUACCAAGGCGACGAUCUGUAGCGGGUCUGAGAGGAUGAUCCGCCACACUGGGACUGGGACACGGCCCAGACUCCUAAGGGAGGCAGCAGUGGGGAAUAUUGGACAAUGGGCGGAAGCCUGAUCCAGCCAUGCCGCGUGUGUGAAGAAGGCCUUAUGGUUGUAAAGCACUUUAAGCGAGGAGGAGGCUACUUUAGUUAAUACCUAGAGAUAGUGGACGUUACUCGCAGAAUAAGCACCGGCUAACUCUGUGCCAGCCGCCGCGGUAAGAC
rnacentral:rRNA from 1 species